rnacentral:misc_RNA from 1 species
GGAAGUAAAAGUCGUAACAAGAUUUCCGUAGGUGAACCUGCGGAAGGAUCAUUACCAAGAAGUGGCUGUGCGCCUUGUGCGUGCAAGUCCACCAUCAUCAUCUCACCUGCGAUUCGUUUAUGUCGAACACGUCACUCGUGCAGACCGCACAUCUGGCCCUGGCCGGUCGUGUGGAUCGUUGCGCAAGUGUGCGUCGUUUCGCUAUUUCUACCAUGCUAGGAGAAUGCUUACCCUGGUUCAACGAGCAGUUCGUUUAAAAAUGUUAAAACAACUGUUGGCAACGGAUCACUAGGCUCUC